AUCAUUCUGUUAUCGCUUUUUAGUUUUAUUCAUAGCUUAAAACUCAUCUAAAUCAUUGGUUGCACUUAGAUUAAGUGAGUACUUGCAUUCUCAGUGCUUUGAUAUCCCUCAGAACUGGUUCGACAAUCUUUUAUACUACAACAUUUGUCUUAGGAGCCUUGAAAACUCCUAACAUCAAUCGUCCAAGUAAUUUAUAUGCCAGUUCCACAAGAUGUGCUACGGGCAUCAUCACAACAGCAGGUAUCUUUAUACUUGGCCUGCAAAAUUAUAAUAUAGUAUUUAUCUGAGACGAGGUAAAAAAAUGCUACCAAUAGAAAGAAACAUUAAUUCCAAAUGUGUUUUUAUAUGUACUUGCUAAUCUCUUUGGUAAGAAUUUUUCUUUGUAAUCUACCAAAAUAAAUUUCGGAGAAAACAAAAAUUCAAAUUAAGAAACCAACUUCUAUUAAGUUAUCAAUAUGCAUAAAAAUUAUAUGAACUGAGUUCAUGGGGGAACAAAUGAAAUAUCUAACUAGGACUAACCAGGGGAAGAACCUUUUUGUAGCCUGUUUUAAAGAAACCUACCUCUCAUAGCCAAGUCCUUCUAGAAGCAGUGACAUAAACUCCCAAAACUUAAUUGGCUCCAUGUUGGUAAUGAAGUAUGCCUCCAAAGCCAUCUUAUCUCAAUUAAGUUACAUCAUAGCCGAGUCCUUUUUGUAGCUUGUUGCAAAGUCCUAAGUUCUAGAAACGACCUUGCAAGUGCACCAGGGGAGGAUCACGCACAGUUUAUCAUGUUUUUGUAAAAGAAAGUUGCCGGUUUGAGAUGUGUUGGAUGUGAUUCAACAUUGAGAAUCUUUGUAUCACCUGCAUGGUUCCGUAAUAUUCAAGAUACAUGUUCUAAGGAGUGGGCAACAAAACCAAACCGACCCAACCGAAUUCAAACCUACCCAAACCAAAGUAUACGUCUAAACCAUUUGGUUCAAAAUUUUAUCAACCCAAAUGGUUCAGUUUGGUUUGGUUUUAAACCGAACCAAAUCAAAAAACCGAAGUAUUUUUUAAUUAGAUUAAAUAUAUUAAUAAUAUUAAAAUUUAAUAUAUUUAACCAUUAACCUAAACAAGUAAACAUAAUUUUAUACAUUUUAUUUUUAAAUAAAUAGAAUAAAUACAACUAAAAAUAUGAAUCUUAUACAUUAACAUCAAAACCAAAAAUUACCUAUGAUAUUUAUAUUAAGUUUGAAGAUAAUAAUAUAAUAUUAUUGAAUUAUAUAUUAUAUAUCCAAAUGUAAUGUUUGACUUUACAUUUAAAUAUGAAGAAAAUAUUGAUUUAGUGUCCAAAUAUGAUUUGUUUAUAUUCCUAUAAAUUAUAUUUUUGUAACUGAUCACGAAAAAAACUAAAAAAUCAACCCGAUCGAAUAAACAAACACAAACAAAAUCAUAUUAAAUCAAACCGAACUAAAACCAAACCUAACACAAACCAAUUUCUUUUUGUAGCUUGUUGCAAAGUCCUAAGUUCAAGAAACGACCUUGCAAGUGCAUGAGGGAGGAUCAGACACAGUUUAUCAUGUUUUUGUAAAAUAAAGAGGCCGGUGUGAGAUAUGUUGGAUGUGAUUCAAUAUUGAGAAUCUUUUGGAAGUGGACUGAAGAAUGCUCUUGACAAGAAGAAGUCACGAGACUACUAGCUAAAGUGGUGGAAACAUUCUUGGUGGAAAAGAGGGUUUCAAAAGAAAGGAGGUGUGAGGAGAGUCAGGUAAAACGACGUCACCGGCUUGGACUUCGUCUCACUCGUUAACAAAACCAGAAGAGAGAGAACGAGAGCCGUCUAUGUCGAUGAGUUCUUGAGCAAUUAAAAAACAGAGAUUGAGAGGUUAGAGAGUAUAGAAAAUGUUCUUCUAAACCGAUUGAGCUGUAAUCGUUGGUGAGCGAAAGUCUUUGUACAACCACUCCGGAGGUGAUUUCCGUUUAUCUAUGGAACGUACUAACCGGAUGCACCCAUUAGUUAAGACAGCCAACUGGGUUAUAUUGUGUGUGUUCUUUGAUUCAAGCUCAAGAAGAGAGGUUCUUGAAAACUAUCAGUGGCGAUCAAAAGGGACUUUAAAAGGAGACAAAGAGCUUAGAGUACACAUGAUUUACCCGCUUGGCGUCACGUAGAGACAAGCUUUGUACAAGUUCAAAUUUGAGGGAAACUCGAGUUUAAGUACUCACAUUCAACACAAUCGUUGUGCUAAAUUCGAGGUUGUUUUCGUGUAGUUUCAUUUCAAACGCAUCUGACAGAAAUUACAAAGCAGGCAGUAAUGAGAACGAAUUCAUCAAGUAAUCAAAAAAAAAUAAAAAAAAUUGAGUACUGGAGAAGAAACAAAAUAUAUUUUAGGAGAAAGGACGCCGUCGAGAGAGUGAUAAUGUGAGAAAAUGCUUUUAGCCACCAAAGCCCACAUCGGUAAAAAGAAAAAAAUUCCUUGUUGUAUAUAUAAGGUUUGCUCACAAGCCCACGUGGACUUGUGAUCCGAGUGGAGACGAUAAGUUGUACCAAUUUAUUUGGACCCCAUAGUAUGUGAGGGUAUAUAUUCUGGGUAGCCCGAUUCCAAAUUGGCUGCGCCAUUGUCUUCUUUCGCAUGAAGAAGAGGGAUCAAUCAAGCUGGUUUCAACUGGACCAUCAUCUUUUAAAAUUGAUUUUGUUAUGUUACAUGGGAGUGUCAAUUCGGGCUGGUCCGGUCAAGUCUAAACCCGCUAAGCCCGUAAAUAUUUGAGUCCAGUCCGGUCUGGAAAUAUUUUAGACCUAGAAUUCGAAGUUCAGCCCAGUCUUUAUAGGACUCUAAGGCUUUUUGGGUUUUUUUGGGUUUUUCUAAUAAUAAUUUGUCAUUAUCAUUUCUAUCGUUUUAAUACAUGUAAAUUUUCAUUAAAAAGGACAUUUUAAAAUUUGUUUAUUUUAAAAUAUAAAGUGAAUUUAAACUUUUAUUCUUUGUCAAAAAUAUUUUACUUUUUGUAUGCUUUAAAAACAUAUUAUAUAUAGAAUAAGACUUGGGUGAACCUUUAAAUUCACAUGUCCACUUAUUACCAAUCAAAAUGCCACCUAAAUUAAUAAUAAAAUAGAUUAAUUUUAUUUAAAAAAUCUGAAAUAAUUGAAAAAAAAAAAUAAUGCCAAUUUUAAUGAUGCUAACGCCACUAACUAAACUCUAAACCCUAAACCCUAAACCCUUAACUCUAAAUCCAAACGAUAGACCCUAAACCCAACCCCUAUAUCCUAAACCCAAAUCCUAAAUCCUAAACCCAAACCUUAAACCCUAAACUCAAACUCUAUAUCCUAAACCCAGAUCAUAGACUCUAAACUCAAACCAUAUAUCCAAACCUAAUCCCUACACCCUAAACUCAAAUCGUAAACUCUGAACCCAAAUCCUAUAUCCUAAAGAUUUGGGUUAAUGUUGACGUUUUUUUAAGGUUUAAGAUUUGGGUUUAGAGUCGAGGUUUGGAUUUAGAAUCUAGGGUUUGAGUUUAAGGUCUAGGGUUUGGGUUUAGAGUUUACGGUUUGGGUUUAGAGUUUAGGACUUAGGUUUAAGAUAUAGGGUUUGGGUUUAGGGUUUAGAGUUUGGGUUUAGAAUUUAGGGUUUAGGGUUUAGAUUUAAAGUUUAUAGUUUAGAAUUUAAGAUUUAGGGUUUAGUUAGUGGCGUUAACGUUAUUAAAAUGCGCAUCAUUAUAUUUUUCAAUUAUUUUAGAGUUUAAAAAAAAAUAAUGUAUUUUAUUACUUAUCUAAGUGGCAUUUUGAUUGAUAAUAAGAAUGGGAAUAUAAGUGUACUAUUUUUUCAUAUAGAUCAGAUACUGUCAGAUGGAAAUGUUCCUUAGAGAUACGUCUUUUCUGAUCAGAACUUAGUCUAGUAAUAUGGUUAACUGACAAAAAAAUACAAACUACAUUAUUCCUUAAUAUCAACAAUCUUUCGAUCAGCAUGGUUCUUUUCGAUGAUUCUUGGGAUUAUGUUAAGGCCGCCCUAAUAUAUAUUUAUUUUCUCUGCCGCUUCGCUGUAGAGGUCUUUCAUAUGGCUAGGUGCCUCUAGGUCUUAAUAUAAAUUUUAACAUCUCUCUUCUUCGACCAGCCAACUAAACGAUCAUGAUAUCAGAUUCUAUACCUAUUGAGCUCAGCCGCGUCUCUUACUCGCCAUCGAAGAGCACGGUGUGUGGAGCAUAUUCUCUUUGCCUCAGCAUCUGAGUCCAUAGAGAAGCCUUCAUCGUCUCUAGUAGUAACCCCCAAAUUUCAUAUGAAGUUCCCUCCAGAGGGUAUGCCUAUCUAUCAUCUUGAUGACCGACAAUUUGCAUAUGGCUAUGCCUCUGGUUUGAUCUAUUUCUAUGGUAUGUGGACCAAAAUGAAGGCUGAAGAUGGAGUUCCUGUGAUACGUAACCCAAAAACGGGCCGGUAUGAGAUCUUACCUUAUAUCUAUAGGUACAGAACAACCUAACUCUAAAAAGGUGUUAGCUAUGGUACUUUCAUCCAGUGGCGGAGCCAGAAAUAUUUUUGACUGGGGUCAUAAUAUAUAAAUUUAAUAUAUAUAUAUAUAUUAUUACAGAAAUAUAUAUUUUUCUUACAAAAUUUAAAGGACAUAUAAAAAUUUAUACAGAAAUUAGUGGGGUCAAAUACUAUAUUUUAACUAAUUAUUACAAUAAUUUUUAAAAAAAUACACCAAAAUUUUUUUUUCUCCAAUUUUAGUGGGGUCACCUGACCCCACACUAUCCUCUCUGCCUCCGCCCCUGCUUUCAUCCCAUAUCGUCCAAGUAAUUUAUAUGCCAGUUCCACAAGAUGUGCUACGGGCAUCAUCACAACAGCAGGUAUCUUUAUACUUGGCCUGCAAAAUUAUAAUAUAGUAUUUAUCUGAGACGAGGUAAAAAAAGGUUACCAAUAGUAUACUUCCAAAUGUGUUUUUAUAUGUACUUGUUAAUCUCUUUGGUAAGAGUUUUUUUUAAUAAUCUACCAAAAUAAAUUUCGGAGAAAACAAAGAUUCAAAUUAAGAAACCAACUUCUAUUAAGUUAUCAAUAUGCAUAAAAAAUAUAUGAACUGAAUUUUCAUGGGGAACAAAUGAAAUAUCUAACUAUGACUAACCAGGGGAAGAACAUUUUUGUAGCUUGUUUUAAAGAAAACGUACCUCUCAUAGCCAAGUCCUUCUAGAAGCAGUGACAUAAACUCCCAAAACUUAAUUGGCUCCAUGAUGGUAAUGAAGUAUGCCUCCAAAGCCAUGUCAUUUCAAUUAAGUUACAUCAUAGCCGAGUCCUUUUUGUAGCUUUGUUGCAAAGUCCUAAGUUCUAGAAACAACCUUGCAAGUGCACCAGGGGAGUAUCAGACACAGUUUAUCAUGUUUUUGUAAGAGAAAGUUGCCGGUUUGGGAUGUGUUGGAUGUGAUUCAACAUUUAGAAUCUUUGUAAGUGGACUGAAGCAUGCAUUUGACAAGAAGAAGUCGCGAAACUACUAGCAAGUGGUGGAAACAUUCCGGCUGGGAAAGAAGGUUUGAAAGAAAGGAGGUUUAAUAUACUCAGAUGAGUCACGUGAGGAGAGUUAAGUAAAACGACGUCACCGGCUUGGACUUCGUCUCUCUCGUUACCAAAACCAGAAGAGAUGUACUCAUUAGUUAACACGGCUAAAACUGGGUUAUAACGUGUGUGUUCUUUGGUUCAAGCUCAAGAAGAGGUUCUUGAAGACUAUCAAUGGCGAUCAAAAGGGACUUUGAUUCUCAGCAAGAUGGAAUCAAUCUUUCUGACGUAAAAGCAGUUUACUUAACUGCUCACUUACUUAAUCAAACAACAUGAUAUAUGGAACCGUUCUUGUCCAAUCCCAGGGGGUAAACAUCUGACUCUAUAAGCUCUUGAGUCUGUGGUUCUGGCCAAGUUCAAGUCUUUAUAACAUGAGCCGGUGUGGAAGAAGGAAAGGCCUCCAAGCUUAAAAGGAGACAACGAGCUUAGAGCGCACAGGAUUUACCCGUUUGGCCUCACGCAGAGACAAGCUUUGUACAAGUACUAAUAUUCAACACAACCCUUGUGCUAAAUUUGAGUUUGUCUUCGUGUAGUUUCAUUCCUAAACGCAUAACUGACAGAAACUGUACGCAGCUUUACGCAGUAAUGAAGACGAAUCCAUCAGAUUACUAAAAGCAAAGCUGAAAUUCCGUGUUGAAGAAGAAACAAAAGGAAAUUUAUGAGAAACGACGACGUUGGGAGUGAUCUGUACGUUGUUUAUAAAUCACCAAAGCCCACAUCGGAAGAAACAAAAUUUUCCUUGCUGUAUAUAUAAGCUUAGCUCACACUAAGAGUACGUCGAGCUUAGUAACGUGGGCUUGUGAUCCUAGUGGAGACAAUAAGUUGAUGGAACUUUGGACCAGUUUCUAUGAAGCGUACCGGUCUCUUGACCCGGGUGUGUGCGGGGUUAUAUAUACUGAGCUCUUGCCCUCUUCUAAUACGAGUGUGCAUGCCAGUGUCUUCUUCGCGUACAACUUCAAUCUAGCUGGUUUCAUUGGACCAUCAUCUUUUAAAAAUGCUUUUGUAUCACCUGCAUGGUUCCGUAAUAUUCAAGAUACAUGUUCUAAGGGGUGGGCAACAAAACCAAACCGACCCAACCGAACUCAAACCUAUCCAAACCAAAGUAUACGUCUAAACCAUUUGGUUCAAAAUUUUAUCAACCCAAAUGGUUCAGUUUGGUUUGGUUUUAAACCGAACCAAAUCAAAAAACCGAAGUAUUUUUUAAUUAGAUUGAAUAUAUUAAUAAUAUUAAAAUUUAAUAUAUUUAACCAUUAACGUAAACAAGUAAACAUUAUUUUAUACAUUUUAUUUUUAAAUAAAUAGAAUAAAUACAACUAAAAAUAUGAAUCUUAUACAUUAACAUUAAAACCAAAAAUUACCUAUGAUAUUUAUACUAAGUUUGAAGAUAAUAAUAUAAUAUUAUUGAAUUAUAUAUUAUAUCUAUAUAUAUAAAAAAUUGUUGGUCUCUCUCCAGGGCAAGACACGUCAUCAAAUCGUUUCUUCAGAGUGCGACACGUGGCAAAAAAUCGAUCCGCUGCGUUUCAUUAAACGUAUGUAAUCGUGUGGGGCUUAUGUUAUAUAUGGGCUUUGUGUUAACUUAUUAUAGUACGGCCCGUUUAUUUAUCUCCACCUAAAUGAAACGACGUGUUUUCAUUUAGGGUUGGCCCCAUCUUCUUCUUCGCCUGUCCAGAGCUCACGAGGAUUUGGUUUUUGCAAGCGAUCUUUCAUCUUCUUCCUCAUAGUGCAAAAGGAUAACAGUUACCGAAUCUAUUAAAACCCUCCAUUAAUCUAUCACCCACGAUCUGUAUUCAAUCCGAGUUCUUAUUUUGCAAGGCGGUGAAUGUUCAGCUAUAAAAAGACAGGCCUCUCCUGAUUUAUGAAAAGGAUGUCCUCCUCAUCUUCCCUUUUCUUUCUUCCCACCACCACUUCAAACAUUCAGAUUCAUCCAUAGCGCUUCACCAUACUUGCAGAGUUCGUCGAAGGUACAUAGAAUCUUAAUUUAAUACGACUGAGCUCCUUAGGUUCUGUAUAUGAACAACUCAUGGCACUGGAAGGCACUUGAAGAUUCCCAAAACAAAACUCUCUUUUCACUCUUGAUCCAUAACUGGUUAGAACUGUUGUCCAGCUUGCUCUCAAUUUCUCAUGUGUGUAAAUUUACAAAACAUAACUCUUUUUUAUUCUUCAUUAAUCUAAAAGAAAGAAAGGAAUCUUUGUGAUAUACAAUUGUGAUUGAUCUUUUGCAUGCUAAUUUAUUUGCAUUCAUAUAGAAUUGUUUAUGGAGAUAUGAAAACAGAGUACAUGCUUUUGAUUUUGGAGUGGCUAGAGUUGAAUCUCAUAAUCCAAAGGAUAGAUCUACCAAAGGAUAUGACUAGAGAAACUGGUACUCUCGGAUACACAGGCUACGGAGGUAACACACAAACAUCAUUCUUUUAACAUUAAAGCUUGCUUCUUAUUAUGGUUUCAAAAUCUGUAAUGCUUACACUUGUGUGGUUAGGUUCUUGAUGGUAAGCCAUACAAUAGAAGAUGUGAUGUUUGCAUCUUUGGGAUAUGUUUAAGGGAGAUUUAUUGUUGUGCUAUGCCUUUUCCUGAUCUCAGCUUUGCUGAUGUUUCUUCUGCCGUUGUUCGUCAGGUAAUUAAAACUCGAUAUACAUACUUCUUGCAUUUUGAAAAAAAAAAUCUGGAGGGAUGGUUUAUCCGACUUAUGCUUUGGUUUGAUUAUCUUUGGUUUACUGGUUUAAUUGGUUUUUUGUUUUGUUGGUUUAAUAGAAAAACUGAAACGAAUUAUUAAACCCAUUCAAGUUGGAAAUAAUGUUAAGGUAUAUUUUCUAAAAAUAUAAUAUGCUUUAGUUAAUAUUGUAUUUAUGUAAUAAUGACUCUUAGCUUCGGUUGUGUUGUUUUGUUUGCUAAGAUCAUUUUAAGCAAAAUCUAAAACAAAUUUCACUUGGUUUUGAUGUUUCAGAUUUUAAAACUGAAAAAUCAGUUGUUUUACAAACAAAUUUCGUUUUGGUUAUUCAUGGCUUUGUGUAUGCCAGUUAAUGAGAAUCUAAAAUUAUUUAUUUUUGUUUAUUUCGUUUAAGCAGAAUAUGUGACUGAAAUACCGAAAUGUUGUCCGACAACAGAGUUAGCAUGCGGCGAUCAAUCAAUUAUAGAUAAAUUUGGAUAGAAAAAAAGAGACCAAUUGUUAGAAACCUAUCAAAAAAAUCACUAUCCGAGUUGGAAUAACCAGCUUUUGAUGUUUGACAAUUUAUAGAAGUAUAUGAGAAACAAUUAUAUUUUAUCGUUACGACCUUAAAAACAGUAUAGCACAUGUUACUACUACAAGCAGAUAAUGAAGUUUGUUUCAUAACUUAGCAAAAUAUAUGUUAACCAUGGUCUUAGAAUAUUAUUUCAAAGAUCAAAAUAAAUAAAAACAAAUUAUUUGAACUUCUUUAACAAAUAACAAAUGUCCCUUAUGCAAAUCUGCAAUUAUACCACACACAAAAGACUCAUAUGAGAUACAAGUUCUAACCAAACAUGAAUGCAACUUUCAUACCUUAUAGAUUAAGAAACAAAUUUAAAAUAUAUAUUUGCCGUUCUCCUAAGCUAUCCACGUGGAAAGUCACUCUCUGACAGACUGACACGUGUCUCUCUUCUGCGAAAUGAGACGCAUCACUUGAGCUUAUCGGUACUGGAUUUUAUUUCUUUGGCUGGACUUGAGUUUAACUUUUGGCUUAUUCUAUGAACAAUUGACAGGGUUUUUUACUCUUUAAUAUUGUUGAAUGUGUUAAUUAUUUCUUAAUACAUAGUACAUAAAAAAACACGUUACGAUAUGGACGUUAUAUUAUCAUCAAAGCAAUCUUUACCCUAUGUAGCUCAUCCUGUGAUAAUUUAUAAAUUAGCAACGAAUCUAUGAGUUCAACAAAAUUGCAAUUACUUACGUUAGAAUUUUAAGUAUAUAAACAGUCAACAGUAGUGUGUUGAAUAUUAUAUAAUUAUAUUCAUAUGAUUUAAAAGCCUUUAUAAAUUUUUAUUUUUAAACAUACACCAAAAAAUUUAUGAAAGUAAAUAUCUAUUCAGAUUCUCAACCACUUCAAAUACCACCAACGCCAAAAAAUUUUAAUCAAGUGCACGAAAACUAUAAUAUAUUUAAAACUACAAUAAAUACAUUAGUUAAUGAAAACUCCUUUUAAAAAAAUAUUAUGGAUGCAUACAUAAAUAUUAGAAGAAAUGUAUAAAAGGAAAUAAAAGUAACAAUAACUUGAAAAACAAAAUGUAUAAGACUGAGAAUAUUUAUGAUUUGUGGUCUAAGAUAUAUUCAACUUAUUGUCCUAAUCAAAGUGGAAUAAACAUUGAAUAAUAAUUUUUUUUAAAAUUAUGUAUAUACAUAGAAAUAUUUUUAGUGGUAGGGUAUAUUUAUAAUUUCCAAUAUUUGGCCAAAUAAAGAAAAAGGAAACCUGCAUGUAUAUAACCAUGAAAAGAAAAGUACUUUAAAUAACUUAAUCAAAACAAUAACCACAUACAACUAAACCCGAUGAACGUCCCAACCUCAAAAGAAAGAUGUUA